AUUUGGGAGGAAGCUGAUCAUUUCCUGUCUGUAAAUGAAAGUGAAAUAGACUUAAAGUCAGAAUCGCCAUUUCAGCAAGAAACACGAAUAAGAUUCCGGAGGAUAUAAAGAUAUUUGUUUUGCAAGUUUAGGUGAAACUGAAACUACAGCAAAAACUUGAGUCACUGGUCUGAAGUGAUUUUACUCUGAAGUGGAUUUUCAGUACAAGAGAAAACAUCUGUUUAUUAAAGCAAGUUUACUGGUUUGCAGAGAAAAGUAUGGCAAGCUUGGCCGAUUUUUUAGAAUUUGUAGACGACUUCUGCACGUCUUUUGAAUGCUAUCUGGAGCAUGACGACACACGGAGAGGUAGUAGGACAUACAUCAUGUACCAUGGUACUACAUUAAGAGCUGCAUUAGAUAUUGAACAGAACGGAUUUCAGCAGUCCAGCGAUGGCAUGCUUGGACCUGGAGUCUAUGUCAGUCGGAGCUUUGAGAAGGCCAAAGCUUACCCAAGAAAUGUACCCUUCUAUGAGCGG